CCUACGGGUGGCAGCAGUGAGGAAUAUUGGUCAAUGGACGAGAGUCUGAACCAGCCAAGUAGCGUGAAGGAUGACUGCCCUAUGGGUUGUAAACUUCUUUUAUAUGGGAAUAAAACGUUCCACGUGUGGGAUUUUGUAUGUACCAUAUGAAUAAGGAUCGGCUAACUCCGUGCCAGCAGCCGCGGUAAUACGGAGGAUCCGAGCGUUAUCCGGAUUUAUUGGGUUUAAAGGGAGCGUAGGUGGAUUGUUAAGUCAGUUGUGAAAGUUUGCGGCUCAACCGUAAAAUUGCAGUUGAAACUGGCAGUCUUGAGUACAGUAGAGGUGAGCGGAAUUCGUGGUGUAGCGGUGAAAUGCUUAGAUAUCACGAAGAACUCCGAUUGCGAAGGCAGUUCACUGGACUGCAAAUGACACUGAGGCUCGAAAGUGUGGGUAUCAAACAGGAUUAGAUACCCUUGUAGUC
rnacentral:rRNA from 1 species